AGCACCAAUAGCGUAUAUUAAAGUUGUUGCAGUUAAAAAGCUCGUAGUUGGAUUUGUGGUGUGUCCAGUCGGCCUUUGCUCUCUGAGUGAUUGCGCUGCACUGGUCUGCCAUGUUUGGGUGGAAUCUGUGUGGCAUUAAGUUGUCGUGCAGGGGAUGCCCAUCGUUUACUGUGAAAAAAUUAGAGUGUUUAAAGCAGGCUUAUGCCGUUGAAUAUAUUAGCAUGGAAUAAUAAGAUAGGACUUUGGAUCUAUUUUGUUGGUUUGCGAGUCAAAGUAAUGAUUAAUAGGGACAGUUGGGGGUAUUCGUAUUUCAUUGUCAGAGGUGAAAUUCUUGGAUUUCUGAAAGACGAACUACUGCGAAAGCAUUUACCAAGGAUGUUU
rnacentral:rRNA from 1 species